AAACUCAUUUUCAUCUCUGGAGCAGAUGUCCAUUAAUUCUCUUAGUCCAGUUCUGUUGUUAAAGUUUGUCUUGUUAGAAUUAGGGGUGUGCAAAAAUAUCGGAAUAUCGAUAUAUCGUAUCAUUUAAUGUGAUGAUACAGUAUCGAUAUCAUGGGCUACUGUAUCGAUAUUUGACCAAGAGUAUUUUUAGGUGUGUUUCUCUAAAUUGAUUUUGUUACAGUGCUACAGUUUUGUUGCUUGUGGAGUGAAAGGAAGCUCAUUUAUGCGACACAUUUGACAUUUUUACAGUUUUGAGGAUUAAAAUGUAAAAAUCAUAUGAACUUUGCACAAGAAGUGAUUUAACAAAGCCUUUUAGUAUCACAGCCACGAUUUAGCCUUUAUUUUUUAUUGAACCGUAUCGAAUCAAUUUGAAAUAUAUCAUAUCGAAUCGAAAGUGCACUGUAUCGAGAUAUGUAUCGUAUCGUGGCCUGUGUAUCGAGGUAUGUAUCGUAUCGGCAACUCCUUAAUGAUACCCAGCCCUAGUUAGAAUGUAAUAAAUGAUUUUUUGGCCAUUUUACAAGUAUUGCAUAUGACUAUAAAUGAGUCUCUCUAUGUAUUUUAGUUUUUGUUAUUUAAAGCAGUGAGUACUGGUCAUUAUUAGGAUUGGAUCUGGUGUUUUUCGCCCACAUAAUGGGUGCGAUGUUGGUCUUAAUUUUCAGUUCAGUGGUCUUUAAAAGGUCUUUAAAAAGUCUUAAAUUUUGGGGUAGUCAACCCUGGGGAUACCUUGUUGCUUUCAUUAUAAGAAAUGACAGCAGGCUCAAAGCAGAUGAGAAAGAAGAGACUGAAAUUAAAAUCAAUGAAAUUCAAACAUCUUGAACCUUGAACUUUCUCUAAAUCAGGGGUCUCCAACCUGCAGUUCAGGAGCUACCAGUAGCUCUCCAGCUCCUCUGAAAUAGCUCUCCAAGGGAUUUCGGAAUUAUACAUAUUGUUCUGAAUAAGUCUUUUUUACGUGAUAAUUUCGUAUCAUGUUAUAACGUGGAUUAGUAUAAUAUUAGUAUCUCGUAAUUACAAGAUAGUUUAUUUUGUUUUUACGACAUUUUUUUUAACGACAGCUAACGUUAGCUAACCAACCAAAAUUUAUGUUGUUUUUCCCCAGAUGACAUCAGGAGCCCCUGUCCUUCUGCUGAGUGUCUCCAUCAGGAGCCCGGCACGCUGAUCAGAAAAUAUACUAUGGUUAAUAAGAAGAUGGACAUAACAGCAUGAUAAAGACCCUCUGGAGGAUUCCCUCUGCUGGGCCAAGUUCCAAAAAUGUAGAGACAGACCCUGUAACAUGCUGUGGUGGAGUUUACAGACUGACCCUCUAUGCUGUGAGAAAGGGGAAGUCCAGAGCUGGACACUGACAGACUGGAUCUUCACCAGUAGGACUGAAGAGGAGCCAGACUCACUGCACCUCUGCCUCAAAACCUCUGCCUCAGACUGAAGCUAAAGACAGAGGCUCUGAAGCUCCCACACUGCACACUCUAUAAGAACAACCAAUUAAUCUCGUAAUUACGAGAUAA